UGUGUGGUUCACAGACUCGGUA
rnacentral:piRNA from 1 species